GAUGAACGCUGGCGGCGUGCCUAAUACAUGCAAGUCGAGCGGUAACACUUCGGGUGACGAGCGGCGGACGGCUGAGUAACGCGUAGGAACAUACCCCAAAGUGAGGGAUAAGCACCGGAAACGGUGUCUAAUACCGCAUGUGGUCUUCGGAUUAAAGCUUCGGCGCUUUGGGAAUGGCCUGCGUAUGAUUAGCUUGUUGGUGAGGUAAUGGCUCACCAAGGCGACGAUCAUUAGCUGGUCUGAGAGGAUGAUCAGCCAGACUGGGACUGAGAACGGCCCAGACUCCUACGGGAGGCAGCAGUAGGGAAUUUUCCACAAUGGACGAAAGUCUGAUGGAGCAACGCCGCGUGCAGGAUGAAUGCCUUCGGGUUGUAAACUGCUUUUCUCUGUGACGAUUAUGACGGUAGCAGAGGAAUAAGGAUCGGCUAACUCCGUGCCAGCCGCCGCGGUAA
rnacentral:rRNA from 1 species